GCUACCAUGCAGUCGAGCGGUAGAGAGGUGCUUGCACCUCUUGAGAGCGGCGGACGGCUGUAGUAAAGCCUAGGAAUCUGCCUGGUAGUGGGGGAUAACGCUCGGAAACGGACGCUAAUACCGCAUACGUCCUACGGGAGAAAGCAGGGGACCCUCGGGCCUUGCGCUAUCAGAUGAGCCUAGGUCGGAUUAGCUAGUUGGUGAGGUAAUGGCUCACCAAGGCGACGAUCCGUAACUGGUCUGAGAGGAUGAUCAGUCACACUGGAACUGAGACACGGUCCAGACUCCUACGGGAGGCAGCAGUGGGGAAUAUUGGACAAUGGGCGAAAGCCUGAUCCAGCCAUGCCGCGUGUGUGAAGAAGGUCUUCGGAUUGUAAAGCACUUUAAGUUGGGAGGAAGGGCAGUAAAUUAAUACUUUGCUGUUUUGACGUUACCGACAGAAUAAGCACCGGCUAACUCUGUGCCAGCAGCCGCGGUAAUACAGAGGGUGCAAGCGUUAAUCGGAAUUACUGGGCGUAAAGCGCGCGUAGGUGGUUAGUUAAGUUGGAUGUGAAAUCCCCGGGCUCAACCUGGGAACUGCAUUCAAAACUGACUGACUAGAGUAUGGUAGAGGGUGGUGGAAUUUCCUGUGUAGCGGUGAAAUGCGUAGAUAUAGGAAGGAACACCAGUGGCGAAGGCGACCACCUGGACUGAUACUGACACUGAGGUGCGAAAGC
rnacentral:rRNA from 1 species